AUUGAACGCUGGCGGCAGGCCUAACACAUGCAAGUCGAGCGAGUGGCGGACGGGUGAGUAAUGUAUGGGAAACUGCCUGAUGGAGGGGGAUAACUACUGGAAACUGUAGCUAAUACCGCAUACCAUCGGAUGUGCCCAGAUGGGAUUAGGUAGGAGGUGGGGUAAAGGCGCACCUAGGCGACGAUCCCUAGCUGGUCUGAGAGGAUGACCAGCCACACUGGAACUGAGACACGGUCCAGACUCCUACGGGAGGCAGCAGUGGGGAAUAUUGCACAAUGGGCGCAAGCCUGAUGCAGCCAUGCCGCGUGUAGGAAGAAGGCCUUCGGGUUGUAAAGCACUUUCAGCGGGGAGGCGUUACCCGCAGAAGAAGCACCGGCUAACUCCGUGCCAGCAGCCGCGGUAAUAC
rnacentral:rRNA from 1 species